UGCUUGAGCCCAGGAUUUCUGGGCUGUAGCACGCUAUGCCAAUCAAGUGUCCACACUAAGUUCAGCAUCAGUAUGGUGACCUCCCGGGAGUGAGGGACCACCAGGUUGUCUAAGGAGUGGUGAACUGGCCCAGGUCAGAAACGGAGCAGGUCAAAACUCCCAUGCUGACGAGUAGUGGGACUGCACCUGUGAAUAACCAUUGCACUCCAGCCUGAGCAACUUAGCA
rnacentral:sRNA from 1 species